GGACUACUUCUCAGAAGAUGCCCUGCGUGUCUCCAGUCAUUCCUCUCCGGCCUCACCGCAGAAUAUUUGGAGUUGCUAGCUUUCUUCUGCCGAGGGGGGACAAAGGCAGAGGCCUCCAGAGGGUUAAGAGCAUCUGCUUUUACGCCAAGUGUUUGAGCAGGAAAUAAUCUGCAGAGAUACAUGUGCAGCAAUUCAACUGCUGCUGCUCUCUCAGGCUGCUGCUGCAGUUCGGUGUGUGAGAGGAGCCGUGCUGCUCACAGAAGAUGCUUUCUUGGUGUGCCCGAAUCUCCAGGCAUGGCAGCAGAGCCCCGGCUGUCUGAGCUGGGGUAAAUGUCUCCAUCCAAGAGGAAUUAUGUUGACUUGCUGUCUCUGUCGGCUCACGGAGAGGUUUCCCUGGCGUGUUCAGCCCAGUGUCAUCCCCAGGCUCAGAGUGCUUUGAGAAGAGCCCACUGAAUUCCUGCUAGGAGGGCCACAGGCAGAGCAAACCUGCCCAGCUCAUCACCAAACCUCCUUUGGAGCAGCUGCCAGAGGGGCCGAAUUCCCUGUUUCCUGCUGUGCUGCCCAGAUCCUGUUCCAUGUGGGCCAAGGCUGGAGUACACCCGCGUCCCCGUGGUUUUGCGUGAGAUCCUCACCCUGUGCAUCCACGGCCUCUCCCUUCUCCUGUCCCAGCUAGCAGCGUGCCAUCACCACCCACCAGAUGUGCAAGUGGCUGCAAAGAGCUCCCCUCCCUGAGCACAGGUGCUCUCUUUCAAGAAAAAAGUAAGUGUUGCUCAGCAAGAGCUGUGCAAAUGUAUAACUGUGUGUUCAAAUGAAGAAACUGCUGCUCCUUGAGGGCAGGCAAGGGGAACAGGGCACGCUGGAAUUCUGGCAGUGGCUAGGUUGGGAAAGUGCCAGUUCCAGCACACUGCUCCUGAUUUGCCUGGCAAGGCAGCUCUCCCAGAUGAAGUGAGAUGUUGUAAGCCAAAGUUCUCUUCAGAAAGCUUUAUUUGGUUUAAAAUGCUUUGUUAUCAAAUACUGCUUCUGACUUCUUCCAACUUUUGACUAGGCUCAGUUCACCUCUGAUUUAUUUUAAAUUCAGUGGUACUUUACACAAAGUGUUCUCAUCAGCCAAGCCACUGCUGGAUUUCUAGACAGAGUAGUUUAGUGUUCGUCUGUCUCAUUUCUUUACUGUCCAAGAUGAAUCUCAGGAGACUGAAGCUCUGAACCAAGUGGCUUCAGGCUAUUCAUCUGGAAGACAAAGCCACUUAGACCUUUGUAAAGAAAGUAAUUUAGUAAUCAAUGCAAGAGGCCAGUCUCUAAGCUAACCCAUUUGGAAAAAUUGCCAGUGCAGUAACUACAGAUAUAUUAUGACAAUAAUACUGAUUAUGUCCUUCCAUUAUUGCCAUAAUUUUUUCUUCUCUACAGCUUCAGGACAGAGUUGGUUUUGCACCAACUUCUAU
rnacentral:lncRNA from 1 species